ensembl:lncRNA
ACCGUCCCUAUCAAGACCUUUGAUGGGGUAGUGACCAGCUCAGGUUAUGGCCAUGCAGAGGACAAAGCUCUGUAUGUGCUUUCAUCGCUUGCUGUCAGCCCACAAGCGAAAGAAGCCAUUGAGAGAGCCACAGUUGGGCAAACUAAGAAUGCCUUAUGGUGAUACAUACAAAGAUAGUCUCUAUUGAUUUCAGGUGUACGGUAUUGACUAGCUUUCUCUCCAUUAGUGCUGGAAACAUCCCUGUGUGCUACAUGGUCAAAAUGCACCUGUGUUGCAAGUGGCAUGAGGUUAACUGUUAUGGUUUUCUUUUAACAGGAUGGCAUAUCGCCACAAAAGAAUCACAGCCAGCAACUUCGGUUUGGUGUUGGCAGCAUUGAAGCGGAACUCUUACCCACCUUCCUUAUUCAAAACCCUGCUUGGCCAAUACAACCUCAAACAAGGAUCUCAUGCUUGUGAUUGGGGAAUCCUCCAUGAGCCAAAGGCAAAGCAGGAAUACAUGGAGCACACUGGUGUGACCAUCCAGGAGAGGGGAGUGUUCCUUUCUGACAGCGGCCUGCUCGGUGGCUCUCCAGAUGGGACGGUGGCUGAUGACUUCAUCAUUGAGGUGAAAUGUCCCUAUUCAGCCAGAACCAAGACCAACCUGCAGGCAGCGGAGAGGAAGGACUUUUUUCUAGAACUGGAUGAAGUCACUGGCUUACUGAAGCUCAAGCAAACACACAGCCACUGGCAUCAGAUUCAGGGCAAUCUGCACCUGACAGUAGCCAACAAUUGUCAUCUUGUGGUGUGGACUCCUCUUGACCUUGUUAUCCUGCUCAUCCCUAAAGACCCAGCAUGGGCUAGCAACAUUAACAUUCUGGAAACAUUGUAUAAGGAUUGUUUCCUUCCUCGCAUACUUCUGCAUUCAUGAUCUGUUCUAGUGAAGGAUUUAUUUUUUCUGCAGCUUGCCGGGCCACCAAGGUAUCUAUCCUUUUGUUUUGUUGUACAUUCUCAUCACACAGUACAUAACACACUACACAUAGUCAGAUGCCAUUUACACUGAUACGCCUAGUCUCCUAGUCUCUUUAAAAGGUCCCAUGACAUGUCAUCAGGUGUGGUGUGAUUAGCCGUUACAAGCCGUUUUGGAAAUCUGCCCCUUAUGACAUCACAGGUGGGCGUGUCCACCUAGAUGUAUGACGGAUAGAUGAGCAACGUUUGCUGCAGUCUACUGUGUUGGCUGGUAGACUGAUCUAUCCAGCACACAUCUAGGUGGACACGCCCACAUGUGAUGUCAUAAGGGGCAGAUUUCCAAAACAGCUUGUAAGCUAUUCACACAACACCUGGUGCCGUGUCAUGGGACCUUUUAAGGGUAAGGCCUCAUUCAUGUUCACUAUUCAUUCACUAUAUUAUUGUUUUGUUACAUUGUUUGUGUUAACAAUAAACUGACUGGGAGUGGGAGCAGCUGUGUGAAGACUCAAAUUUGUCUGCUAGUUCAGCUUGUUUUGCACCUAGCCUGUCAAAGUGUAUGUCCAAGUAGUUCCCAACUGAUGGUGGCUUAAACUGAAUGAUUUUGAUGUGACAGACAUGAGAUAGACACGAGUAAAACAAUGACAUUUAUUCAUGCAAUUUCUUGAAGAAUGGGCUUCUGUAAAUUCACAAGACUAACACAUACUUUUAGGAUCUUGUUGGCAUGCUUCUUAUGCUGGUACGGGAUGUACGUCAAAAUGCCAAAUGUUUUCAGACGUUGUAUGGAACGCUCUACAUGAAUCCUUGCACAGGCAACGAGUCUGUUGUGGUUUACUUCCUCCACUGUGAACUGUCCAUUGACAAGGAACGUUGGGAUGUUCAGUGACACUCCCUCAGGCAAAAUGUCACGAAUAGUGAAUCCCUUAUCUGCCAUCACCAUGUCACCUGGUUCUAGCUGUUGGAGUACUCCGCAGUCAGCUGUUAUCGCCUUGUCCGAGGUACUUCCACCGUAUAGGUCACUGGCGAAGGUUAUAACUCCAUUGGGAGCCACACCGAUCAGAGCUUUAAGUGUGGUGCGUCCUUUGUAAUGACUGUACAGAUGACUCUGGGUGUCCAGUCUUUCUGUAUUGGAGACGGCCACUUCAGUGCAGUCAAGCACAAUCCGACAGUCGGGGAAUGGCUGGAAGCAAUCUGGGAGGGAUGUUUGGUUCUUGAAUCUCGAGGGGAUGUUGUUUUCCAUCAUGCCAACAUACAAAAUGUCAUACAGUGCACUGCUGAUUGUGGUGAAGAUGUUGGUGACUGUGGCACGGCAGCAAUUCAAUCUUGUUGCAAGGUCUAGGAUGCCACAAUUCAGUCUGAGCUUCAUCAAAGUCAGGAGUAGCUGAUCGAUAAGGGGCAUAAUUUGGACAUUCCAAUUAAAGUGGUACUGGAGAUCAAAUUUGGAGAGAAGGGCUUCCAAAAAGAAGACAGUGGCAGCAUCUGUCAAGCCAGUGUAGUAUUUAACUUUGUCAUGGUGUGAGGAGAUUUGACUGAAUGAAAAUGUUUGUUUUUGUUUCUCCAAUUCUCGUUUCAGUUGGUCAUUUUCUUUUCUGAGCAGAUCAUUCUCAAUUUCAAGCACAACACUUUAAGUACCAGGGGUCUGUGGAGCAAUGCCAAGGUGGUUUGGGCCUGGUCCAGCUGUUCCUUUAUCCUCCACGCUCGCAGGGACCAUUCUUUUUUUACGUUUGGUGGGGAUGUGGUCGGGGAAAGCCUUUCCGUCAUUCCAUGCAAACCGUGUUGGCCCAGCUGCUUUGCCAUCAGGAAAAUGCCACCCACAGACCCUGGAGUUGUAGUUCGGGGUGAACUUGUCACGCCUGCAAAAAAAAGAGAAGAAAAUAAACUAACUAAGUCAAUUAACAUAUUACGGUAACACUUUAUAAUAAAGUUCCAUAAUAAAUAGCAAACUAGUCAUCACCUAACCCUUUGUUAAUAUUUGUUAAUUGUUACUAAAAUAUAUAUUUUAGUAACAAAUAAAAUAUAAUGGACUACAUUAUCACAGUGAGGCUAUACAUUAUGUAAAACAUAGUUUCCGAUUUUUGAAACCGUUACCCUAUUUGUGAAAAUGCAAUGCUGUCUGGACCCCUAAAAAGCAUUCAAAUGAGCCUGUAUUGCAUUUUCACAAAUAGGGUAAAGGUUUCACAAAUCUGAAACUAUGUUUUACAUAAUGUAUAGCCUCACUGUGAUAAUUUAGUCCAGAUUUGAAGAGUCUAGGUGUAGUGGUUUUCAAUCAGGACCGAUUUAAGGACCAGCAACUGCCGAAUCGGAUGCCAACUUCAGCGUAGCUAGGUCUACUAGAGUAAAAGUCAGUCUCACUUAGAAGUCUAAUGAUUUCCUAUGCAGCACAGACACUGGCUGUCUUCCUUAGCAUAUGUAACAUUACUGGUAGCAGUUCAAGAACGAUAACGAUAACCUUGAAAGCAUUUUGAAGUGCUGACAAAACAAACAAAGCUAGCACUCGCUAGUAGUACCUAGCUCAUAACGUUAGUAACCACUAGCCUGUUAUUAUUGUUCAUCAUUUGAGAUCCAACUUACGGUAUCAACUUCAGCCAUCUCUUCUUCUCUUUUUCAUCGAGGGGAAAUCGGUAAAAAGAGAUUGUUUUGUUGACGUCGUUGCGGUUAUUGCAACACGGGACACAGCACUGCACCAUUUUACUGUUAGAAUGUUAGCGAGUGGACACGGAAGUGACGUUUUUGGAUAUGAUGACGUAGUGAC